UACGUAGGGUCCGAGCGUUGUCCGGAAUUAUUGGGCGUAAAGGGCUCGUAGGCGGUUUGUCGCGUCGGGAGUGAAAACACCGGGCUUAACUCGGUGCUUGCUUUCGAUACGGGCAGACUGGAGGUAUGCAGGGGAGAACGGAAUUCCUGGUGUAGCGGUGAAAUGCGCAGAUAUCAGGAGGAACACCGGUGGCGAAGGCGGUUCUCUGGGCAUUCCCUGACGCUGAGGAGCGAAAGUGUGGGGAGCGAACAGG
rnacentral:rRNA from 1 species